rnacentral:rRNA from 1 species
GUUGGUGGAGUGAUUUGUCUGCUUAAUUGCGUUAACGAACGAGACCUUCACCUGCUAAAUAGCUACGCGAUCCCCGGGAUCGUGGACAGCUUCUUAGAGGGACUAUGUGAGUCAAUCACAUGGAAGCUGGAGGCAAUAACAGGU